CCGAGUUCCCCACUACGGUGUGACUAAAAAACGGCGUGACGUAAAAUCGUAGAACUUAGUUCGCUUUUAAUAAUCCCAUAUUCAAGAGCAUUUUUAAAGCUGUUUCAGCUGAGAACUUCUUGCAGACUUAUUCCAAUUCUGCUCAUGAUGAAGGGCGCGUAAGACGAGACGCGCCCUUCAUCAUGAUGUCUCAUCAUCAUCAGCGUAUGUCUCAGCUGUUGCUAGGCUAUCGCAGGCAGGCAGCAAUUUUUUUUAACCUUCUGCAGCCCUUGCGUACGAAUUUAUUGCAAGUGCGCGAAUAGCAUGGGUGACGACUGGGAAUAUGACGUUCCCUCUGGCACCAGCAGUUCUCAGGUGUUUCGCCGCUUGCGGCGAAAGGGGGCACGAUUCGGUGGCGGCUACGCCCCUCAUGGAAAAUACUGCGGCAAAGCAUCGACAGUUUCUUGUUGCAGUUCGCGCGAGAACUGCGCAUCUACGGGAAAGCCUUCUAGACGAACUUCUCGUGCAAGCUCCUACGUCUGAAGUGCGUGAGUUGAGGACAGAGAAUCAAGUGCUUCAAAGGCACCUCGCGCAAUCCACCAAGGUGACGCGUACGUUUUUUUUUGUGUGUGUGACCCGGAAGAAACGGCAAUGAGGCGUCUUCAUCGGCGGCGUCGGAUGGUUUCUAUGCGAAUGUGAUUUCUGCGACUUGGCAAGCCAAGUCGCCAGCUUUCUUUAACUCGGCGGGUUUGAGCAGGGUCAGCAGUACGGAGGUCCAGAACGUGCGGUGACGUCUGCAACAAUUCCUGCAAACGUCGGCGGACAACGACGCCUUCAAGCGCUGCGGGCGAACGCACGGUGCGUCUGUGGCUGUCUCCUAACCCUACAGGCACGGACUGCGCAUGCGUCGUCAACUGUGGGACAGCACGAGGGCUACGCUUCGCGGAUGCGUCUCAAGCUGCCAUAUACAUGUUACCGCUCUAAUACUAGAAGUAUGCAAAUAAUUUAUCCGAAAUUUCAAAAAGCCAGUUGUUCAGGGACAAGCUAGAUGGAUAGACUUAUUCGUCUAGAAGUCUAUCAUUUUUUUUCCGUGGGUGAAAGUGCCCCUUUGUUGCAUAGAAAAUUGCCGCGGAAGGCCCCGCUGCUGCUCUUUAAUUUUAAUCGCCCGCUCUGAAUCGAUCUCCACGUGACAUCUUUCCGUGUCGCUCACUGUGAAUCAGCCAGUGCUGACGUUACAGGAGCGGUACCGUAGUCCACGAAAGGUGACGCGACUCUGAUUUUUUAGGUUUCGUCAUUUUCUAGAUUACAAAAUCGAUGUUCCCGCUACGAAUUCCAUAUUCGUUGCUACAGAAACCUAAUCUUUCAAUCUAGGUCGUCAUUUUCCUUUAGUGUCCGUUUAAAAUGGCAAAAAUGCGAGAGAGCCUCAGAAACAUGUAAAAACUACAAACACAUAAAGUGGAACUUGCAAUGAAUGCUUAUGUAUGUAGGGAUAACUAUUAGGCUUCAAGCAGAUCUUGCUAGAUGUCUUCAAACCUUUAAAAUAUACUUCAGUGCGUAAUUGCAAAUGAAGUCCCUUGUUUUUAAGAAUAAGAUAUAGUUGCAGUUUAGAUGGCUCUGUUAAAGAAAACCUACAGAGAAACCUUGUGCCACUGUUGAGGCUGAAAUGAGAGAGGUCUACAUUGACAAGCCUACAGCAUUGGCUCCAACGACAGUGAGGAAGGUUGAAACAUUCACAUCUCGUGCACAUCACUUCAAAAUUGUGUAAAGUGUUCUAUCACAUCAUCAUUGUAUAUAACCAUUGUGUACACUGUAUAUAUUGAAAAUCAUUUUGUACAUGUGGCAUUUAGUUUAUGUGUAACUGUGCCUUUCCGUGGGUAUACGUGUUUAUAUGUUGGUACGUGAGGACCCGGACACUACUUACGUUGACAACGCGCUGUGUUUCGUUUCUUACAUGUUAUCGUCCGGGUGGAAU